rnacentral:rRNA from 1 species
AUUUAACGCUUGCGUCAGGCCCAACACAUGCAAGUCUAACGAGUGGUGGACGUGUCAGUUAUGUCUGUGCAACUGCCUGAUGGAGGGGGAUAACUACUGUAAACGGUAGCUAUUACCGCAUACCAUCAGAUGUGCCCAGAUUGGAUUAGCUAGUUGGUGGGGUAACGGCUUACCAAGGCGACGAUCCCUAGCUGGUCUGAGAGGAUGACCAGCCACACUGGAACUGAGACACGGUCCAGACUCCUACGGGAGUCAGCAGUUGGUAAUAUGGCACAAUGGGCGCAAGCGUGAUGCAGCCAUGCCGCGGGUAGGAAGAAGGCCUUUGGAUUGGAAAGUACUAUCAGGGGGGAGGCGUUAACCGCAGAAGAAGCGCCGGCAAAAUCCGUGCAAGCAGCCGCGGUAAUUC